rnacentral:lncRNA from 1 species
GUGGUUUCCUUGUGCUUGUAUGAACCCAGUUCGCACAAAUAAAGUUAUCUUAUAAAGAAGGGGGUUCAAUUUGUCCUCAGAUGUUUUGAUCUCAACAGCGAUAGUUUUAAGUGGGUCAUCUUUCGUGAUUACCUCGGGGCUAUCUGCCCAGCAAAUGUCUCGGGUUUCUAAUUUCCCCAUAUAUUCAUAAUAAUAUAGGUUUAAAGCUCUUA